ACAUGUGAGGCCACGGGGACAGGCUUUCCGAAAGGACAGUUAUUUGGAUAUUCGGUUCCAUUAGCUGGGGCGGACUGGAGAACAUUGUUCGACCUCCGCUAUCGAGCUCGUCGCCUGAACCAUACCCUUGCUUUUUGCGUACCUAUUGUUUCCUCGGCAGGCUUGCCUGCCAGUAGGACCCCAUUUAACCCUUUGUAAUUGCAGUCAGCGUCAGAAACAACGUAAUCGUUA
rnacentral:misc_RNA from 1 species